AUGGCCUGGACCCCUCUCUUCCUGGGCCUCCUGGCACACUGCACAGGUUCUGUGGUCUCCUAUGAGGUGACUCAGCCACCUUCAAUGUCAGUGGCCCUGGGAGAGACGGUCAGAAUCACUUGCCAGGGAGACAACAUUGAAAAAUAUUAUGCUCACUGGUACCAGCAGAACUCAGGCAAGGCCCCUGAGCUGGUCAUUUAUGAGGAUAACAAGCGGCCCUCAGGGAUCCCUGACCGGUUCUCUGGCUCCAACUCGGGGAACACGGCCACCCUGACCAUCAGCGGGACCCAGGCCGACGAUGAGGCUGACUACUACUGUGUGGCAUCAGAUAAUAGUUUUGGUUCCCACAAUGACACAUGACC